rnacentral:rRNA from 1 species
GUUGUAUGGUUAAGUGACUAAGCGUACACGGUGGAUGCCUUGGCAGUCAGAGGCGAUGAAGGACGUAGUAACUUGCGAUAAGCGUAGAUGAGGCAGUAACAGCCACUUGAGUCUACGAUUUCCGAAUGGGGAAACCCACUGGCAUAAGCCAGUAUCAUUGAGUGAAUACAUAGCUCAAUGAAGCGAACCGGGAGAACUGAAACAUCUAAGUACCCCGAGGAAAAGAAAUCAACCGAGAUUCCGAAAGUAGCGGCGAGCGAAAUUGGAUUAGCCCUUAAGCUUUACAUGUGUUAGACGAACGGUCUGGAAAGUCCGACGAUACAGGGUGAUAGUCCCGUAGUUGACGAUGCAUGUUCAGUGAAAUCGAGUAGGGCGGGACACGUGUUAUCCUGUCUGAAUAUGGGGGGACCAUCCUCCAAGGCUAAAUACUCCUGACUGACCGAUAGUGAACCAGUACCGUGAGGGAAAGGCGAAAAGAACCCCUGUGAGGGGAGUGAAAUAGAACCUGAAACCGUGUACGUACAAGCAGUAGGAGCACCUUCGUGGUGUGACUGCGUACCUUUUGUAUAAUGGGUCAGCGACUUAUAUUCAGUGGCAAGGUUAACCAUCUAGGGGAGCCGUAGGGAAACCGAGUCUUAACUGGGCGCCAUAGUCUCUGGAUAUAGACCCGAAACCGAGUGAUCUAGCCAUGGGCAGGUUGAAGGUUGAGUAACAUCAACUGGAGGACCGAACCGACUAAUGUUGAAAAAUUAGCGGAUGACUUGUGGCUAGGGGUGAAAGGCCAAUCAAACUCGGAGAUAGCUGGUUCUCCCCGAAAGCUAUUUAGGUAGCGCCUCGGACGAAUACUACUGGGGGUAGAGCACUGUUAAGGCUAGGGGGUCAUCCCGACUUACCAACCCUUUGCAAACUCCGAAUACCAGUAAGUACUAUCCGGGAGACACACGGCGGGUGCUAACGUCCGUCGUGGAGAGGGAAACAACCCAGACCGCCAGCUAAGGUCCCAAAUUACAGCUAAGUGGGAAACGAUGUGGGAAGGCUUAGACAGCUAGGAUGUUGGCUUAGAAGCAGCCAUCAUUUAAAGAAAGCGUAAUAGCUCACUAGUCGAGUCGGCCUGCGCGGAAGAUGUAACGGGGCUAAGUUGUAAACCGAAGCUGCGGCAAUGUUCUAUGAACAUUGGGUAGGGGAGCGUUCUGUAAGCCGUUGAAGGUGUGUUGUAAAGCAUGCUGGAGGUAUCAGAAGUGCGAAUGCUGACAUGAGUAACGACAAGGGGGGUGAAAAACCUCCCCGCCGGAAGACCAAGGGUUCCUGUCCAACGUUAAUCGGGGCAGGGUAAGUCGACCCCUAAGGCGAGGCUGAAAAGCGUAGUCGAUGGGAAACGGGUUAAUAUUCCCGUACUUCUUACAAUUGCGAUGGGGGGACGGAGAAGGCUAGGUGGGCCUGGCGACGGUUGUCCAGGUUCAAGUGCGUAGGCUGAGUGUUUAGGUAAAUCCGGAUACUCUUAAGGCUGAGACACGA